AUAGCGGGAAUAAUUUGUCUCUGUCGGCACGGAUAUGCAGAUGUUGCACGUGCGGUGACGUCACAGUGGCCUACGUGUAUCGGGUACACAGGUGUGUGUGUGUCAUUCCUAGCCGCCGUGCCGUACUAUACGGUCAUGCUAUUUUAUUAAGUUUUGUUGUUGUUGCUGGUUUAUUAUAAUUUAGUAUCAUUUUUGGUGAUAUAUGGUGUGUGUUCUGUAUUCACAUUAUAUAGGGUUUAUUCGUCGGGCCUAGUAAAAAUCCAGCAAUUGAGAUCUUAAGCAUUGAGGGCUGGUGCACCUCCUGCUAUCCUGCAUUACAGGAGUUUCAGGUUGGGUGGCUCGCUUGGUUUCAUUUAGGCCAUUAUGUUAAGAAUUGUAUCAGUAUUUGUAAAAAAAAAAAAAAAAAAUCAUGAUUGUAGAUUUGUUCUUCAUGGAAUUGUCAGAGGAUUUUCAUUAUAUUGUUAGGUAUCGUACCAUUCAUACUGAUACUGUUUUUGAAUAAACUCCGGCUACGGCUAUACACGGCGGGCUAGUCGGCAAAUGGUA